UCUCCCUACCAUCACUCAUCUAAUCCUCGAAGGCUAAUAAGGCAAUUUUCAACCGGCCCAUAUUUUCCUAAUGGCCCAUGCGGUGCCCUCCUCUGACUCCCCAGUGUUGGGAAUAGUGUCCCAAAGCCAAUCGUCAGCCUAUUGACGGUUGUGCUUAUUUUUGUAUAUGUACAUGAAUUAUGAAUUAAUAAAAAUUAUUUUGAUAUUUUUCAUCACAAAAUAUUUCAUCUUCUAAUGAACUCCUAUGUUGUGGUGAAGUCC
rnacentral:lncRNA from 1 species